GGGGGUUUUUUCAGUUGGGAGAGCGCGUUUUUUUCACGCAGGAGAGUCAGCGCCUGCUUUGCACGCAGGAGGUCAGCGGUUCGAUCCCGCUAGUCUCCACCA
rnacentral:tRNA from 1 species